UGCGCAGGCGGCCGAGUGUGUUAGAUGUGAAAUCCCGGGGCUCAACCCCGGAACUGCGUCUAAAACUACUUGGCUAGAGUAUUGGAGAGGGUAGCGGAAUUCACGGUGUAGCAGUGAAAUGCGUAGAUAUCGUGAGGAACACCAGAGGCGAAGGCGGCUACCUGGACAAUUACUGACGCUCAGGCACGAAAGCGUGGGGAGCAAAAGGGAUUAGAUACCCCUGUAGUCCACGCCCUAAACGGUGCACACUAGGUCUUGGCGGAUUCGACCCCACCAGGGCCCAAGCUAACGCGUUAAGUGUGCCGCCUGAGGACUACGGUCGCAAGACUAAA
rnacentral:rRNA from 1 species